rnacentral:rRNA from 1 species
AUUGAACGCUGGCGGCAUGCCUUACACAUGCAAGUCGAACGGCAGCACGGGUGCUUGCACCUGGUGGCGAGUGGCGAACGGGUGAGUAAUACAUCGGAACGUACCUUAUCGUGGGGGAUAACGCAGCGAAAGCUGUGCUAAUACCGCAUACGCCCUGAGGGGGAAAGCGGGGGAUCGAAAGACCUCGCGCGAUUAGAGCGGCCGAUGCCUGAUUAGCUUGUUGGUGGGGUAAAAGCCCACCAAGGCGACGAUCAGUAGCUGGUCUGAGAGGACGAUCAGCCACACUGGGACGAAGACACGGCCCAGACUCCUACGGGAGGCAGCAGUGGGGAAUUUUGGACAAUGGGGGAAACCCUGAUCCAGCAAUGCCGCGUGAGUGAAGAAGGCCUUCGGGUUGUAAAGCUCUUUUGUCAGGGAAGAAACACCGGCUCUAACACAGUCCGGGAAUGACGGUACCUGAAGAAUAAGCACCGGCUAACUACGUGCCAGCCGCCGCCGUAA